UACGGAGGGUGCAAGCGUUAAUCGGAAUUACUGGGCGUAAAGCGCAUGCAGGCGGUUUGUUAAGCGAGAUGUGAAAGCCCCGGGCUCAACCUGGGAACUGCAUUUCGAACUGGCAAACUAGAGUUCUUGAGAGGGUGGUAGAAUUUCAGGUGUAGCGGUGAAAUGCGUAGAGAUCUGAAGGAAUACCAGUGGCGAAGGCG
rnacentral:rRNA from 1 species